CAUGCUCUGCAUGCCUGAGUGCAGCAGGAGCUGUGCGCUCGGUUCCAGCAGAAGGGCCUGGCUCAAAGUCCGCAGCUCUUCAGGGAGCGGGAACACUUCUAAGAGAUGUUUGUCAGUUCCUAGUUAAAUAACUGCUGUGUUAGAAUCUCUGUGGGCAGUAAUUAUUGCUCCAUUUUCUUCUAUUAGGCAGUCCUGAACGGAGCCAUGAAAAUUGCUUUGAAAUCACAGCAGACAAAGAGGAAACUUUUGGACAUCGUUUAUUUUGGGAUGUUCCAAACCAAAGCUAUCUUCCAAAUCAAAAAAGAAGCCCAGCCCUGCCAAGUCCCUCAUCGCUGAAACGCAGAGAGAGACCACAACACUGAAUGAAAAGAUUUAAACAACUUUCCUACUCUGAAAAAAAGCCUUUUUUUGGAGUUACUGUCAAAAGAAAAUGAGGGAACAACAAAAAACCUUCAUGCAUCAGAGCUGUAUCUAACUGGAGGUGGCGCGAAGAGGCCAAGAGCUUGGAAGGAAACAACGCUACUUUGAAGGGAAGAACUCAAACUUUGUAUCUCAGAAAAUAAAGUCCUACUGGUACAUUUAAAGAAUUUUCCAAGCACGUUAGACCAAGAUUUUUCUUACAGCAUCCACUAUACCGUGCCAUUAUAACAUAACUGUAACAUAAUACCCAAGCACUUACACUGGAAGCACUUACGGACUAAUCUUAAAAACAUUUACCAGGUACACCAGAGCCAGAUUAUUUAUAGCACAGUAGUACCAAAGGGCUCCGCCAGGACGAGCUGCCGUUGUGAGAGACAAAAUGUAAACACGGAGCAGCAAAGUCCCUCACCCGGAGAGAGUGUGUCUGGGCUGGGGCAGGAGGCGUUGCAAAACUCUGCCCAUGUCAUCUAGCAAAUUUAGCUACUGCUGGGACAAAUGCAUGUUGAAAAUACACACGCACCGAAGUCUGGGAGCUUCAGAGUUUAAAUCUAGUCUGAAAUAUGAGGCUGCGAACGUGGAAAAAAAAAAAGAAAGGAAAUUGUACAAUUGGUAAAGAGAGCUGAGGAAAAAAAGCAACUUAGUUUAGGAAAUCUUACGAAACGUUUGUUAUGAAAUAUAAAAUCAUCUGCCCUUGCCCUGAAGUAGCAAUCAGCAGCUGGCAGCACUUUGCCAGCACAGAACAGAAACGGUCCUGACAAGGGGUGUGAAGCAGGGAGGUGCAGAAGGGAAAAAAUGUAAUAAUGGUUUAAGGGAGUCUACAGCGUGCUCGGGAUGCAAAUGUCUGCGGGAGAAUUUCACUGGGGUUACCAAUUGCAACAGCCCAGUUCUCAGUAGGGAGCCCUGUGAGUACAGCCCCAUCUUGUUACUGUCCCUUGAAGCUCACCCUCACUGCAGUGUACACAGUACUGAAGUCCACACAGUGCUAUUCAACAGUGUUUCUUCCCUCAGGAACUGGGAAUUUACUUUUCCAUAGAAAGAGCUAUGCUAUUUUGAGUGUGGAAUGAGGUGUGUGACUGCUCCUGUACAUCCCGCUCUUAAAAAGAGAGGCAAUUGCCCGGAUGCCUUUUCCAUGCAGUGCUGAGCCCGAAAGGGUCUUUGCCAAAAACAACCAGUGAAGCCUCAAUUAUGUGUUAAUGCAACACAGAGAGAACUAUUAAAAUUCCCCAGUUAGGAAUGUCACAGUAGGCCCCCAGAUGGAUGCUAUGAGGUGGCCAGAGCCUGCCACGCUGACAACUAUUGGUGCAGAGGUGCUUUAAGUGAGAUUAAGUGCCAAGCCCUACAGGAGCAGGAAUGGCCUUCAGAGGCCAGCAGAUACAGCCAGACAGCUAGAUUCAUCAGCAGCUCCUCACCUCCUGGUAUCUCCUGGGUCUCUGUUACAGCUGCUGGACAGCCAGGCUCCUGCUAUGUGUCCUCUUUGUACCUGCCUGGACACAAAUUCUAACUACAGCAGGUCAAAACUACAAACCCACAUUUCAAAGUUCGCGACUCUGAAUUUAUACGCCAUUUAAAACACUCUGCCCACUUCACAGAACAAAUGAUUUGUGAAAACUGAUGAUUUAUUUACAAAACAUUCCACGUGCAAAACCGUGCUGACAUCUCAGAGCAAUAGAGUGAAAUAAGCAGUGUGUUAUAAAAUCCCCCACGGAGGCCAGCAGAAGAUAAAGCACGCAGCAGGGGGAUAAAUACCACGGGCAGAAUACCCUGAGCCUCACAACAAAGCGGGUAAGAGCUUUUUUGGCCCCCACUACUUCUGAUACAAAUAAGCCAAUUGAACCCUUUUAAAAAUAGCUGUUGGCCUUGUUUGUUAUUAAAUGUUCUUUAAAUAUUAAACGUUAUUAAAUGCCUCAAAUCACCCCAAAGGCUUUCCUCUGUUUCCCUACUCCACAUCUUUUUCCCACGAAAACCUAAGCCUGGAUAUUUUUUUUUAAGAAGAGCAACCAAUAAACAGAGCACGGGAGCACUAGCAACGGGAAAGGAUCGUUACCAAAUUAGAAGAUGAAAAAUGAAGGAAAACAAUGACGGAGGAGGCCUACAAGUCCUGGAGCUGAUGUAGAAAUCCUGUAAAUCCAAGGAUUGCUUUUCGCCUUCAGGAUACGCUUUCAAAUUCAGCCAAAGCUGUCACUAAUAAUUAAGGUAAUAAUUCUUGCGUGCUCCCCCCUAUAUACAUUCAAGAUUACAUCAUUUCAGCAUGAGCUUUCUGCUUAAACAACGCAACUUUAUCUGCAGAGUAUUUCAGUGGGUGGUGAAGUGAUUCAGUCGCUCUCUGCAUUUCCCUCACAGGGCCUCCCCUCCCAGAGUUCCACAAUCAGCUUGGCUUUGGUGCCGAGUUCAGAUUUUCUUCUGAUCAUCACUUGGUGCAGCAAGAAAGGAACAAGCAGUGAGGAUCUCCACAUCACCACCCUGCGCCCUGACAGCAGCAGAAGCACCCGUGUGUCCCUCACACAGCACAGGCUCAGUGGGAUGGCACCACUCCAAGCCUCAGCUUUACCAGGUUUGACCCCAGCCCACCAUUAAGGCUGUUACAAAGGUUAAGCCUCUACUUUUUCUUCCUUAGCAGGAAUUUUCCAUCAAGUGUUUCACCUGGAAACCUUCCUGCACCAGGACAGGAGAAAGCAAUCUGGGAUAGAGCCCAAAAAACCACAUGAGGCUCUGUAUGUAUCAGACACCCCAGUAACUUAGCUGGUUUCCCUCAGCUGUGGAGUACAGGAAAGCCAAACCAGCUGACAGCAGUGCUCCUGCUGGCACCCACAGCUCCAUCCCUCUCACACUGGCACAAGGAAGCUUUUCAUGGAGGCAUGGAGGCCUUGGUGGCCUUCAGAGCCUGCUCCUUCUUUAUUUACAGGAAGGCCUUUAGGUUUAGUCUGGGGAGGUCUACAGAUUGCAAGGGAGCUUCAGGGGAACAAUUUUUUUUCCACAAAACAUAUGUUGCAAGGCAUCCUCAAGAGAGUCUGCUUUCUGAAUCAUUUAAUCUCCCCUGGAAACUUCACUGCCCUGACUCCCUUGACUGUGGAAGCUUUAUCUUCACCUUUAAAGGCCUUUGUAAUCCACAUUGUUCCUCAACAACUCGAUUGCUUUGGAUUUGUAAAGACAAGAAGCUGGCACCUUGCAAGGCCAGGCAGGCAUCCAGUCAAGCAGCUCCGUGACAUGGCUGCCAGCCAAAUAGAUGCUCCUUCUCUUCUCACCUGUGUGUUUCCUCUGGGUCUGCUUCUCCAGCACAGCUGUUUAGCUGACUCCAAAGCAAACUGCUUCGGCACUGAGAGCAGCAGUGGGAGAGUAAUGCCAAGGGCAGAGAAGGAAAAAGCAUUACCCCUCCUGGCCUCCAUUUAAAUCCACUCAACCAUUAAACUGCAUCAUGGAAGAAGCAGAACCAAAGGACCAUAGAAUCAUUAAGGUUGACAAUGACCUCCAAGCUCAUUUAGUCCAACCGUCAGCCCAUCACCACCCUGGCCAUGUCUCUCUAUGUCACCACAUGUCACCACUAUCAUAGAUAGUGCCACAUUUAUGCAUUUCUUGAACACCUCCAGAGAUGGUGACUCCACCAGCUCCCUGGGCAGCCUGUUCCAAUGCCACACUACUCUUUCUGAGAAGACAUUUUUCCUAAUAUCCAACCUGAAAAGGAUAAUGAGAUUUGAAGAGAUUGGAAAUAGAUUUCACUGGACCAACUAAUACACUCAGAAAAGGAAGACAAGUUUUCAGGCACAAUAAAUAAAUAAAUCAAGAAGCAGUUGCUUCCAUGACAGAACAGCAUCUGGUACAAAAUGCAAGCAGUGGCAGUAUGGAAACGAGGGGGAAAAGCAUUACUGAAGAAAUCAUCCAAAGAUUCUCAUCAAAUAAAAAGAUUCUUACAUUAUCAUGAUGGGAUAACCUGGGACACUUCUGAAUUCUGCAAACCGUGCACAUGCCAUGAUGAAAUUGCUUCUGUUCUAAAACAGUCCUGCAUUAUAGCAGGAUGGGCUGAAUUUCUAGAAAGAUUUCUAGUCUUAAAUUACAGUGUAGAUAGAACUGCAGCAUUAAGAUUUCAUUUUAAUGAAACCACCAUUAAUGUUUUACCUAACGUAAGCCAAUUUUCUGUUUCACUUAGGAAAAUGUAUCCUGUCAUACUCCGUACUUUAUUCGAUUGAACUAAGAGAAUUCUAUACCCCCCUUUCAAGGCAACUCGGUGGUGCAUUUCUAUAAUGUAACAGAUAGAACACUUGUCUUUUUUUUUUAAUAAUUACAUUAUUGUAUUUUUAUUAAGAGUGAAAUUGAGCAAGCUCUGUACUAACUUAAUUGGAAGAAACACCUUUAAAUCAGAGAGACAGGAACAUACAGCUCCACUACUUACUUCAUGGAUUAGAAGUCAUUCUCAAAUUGAGGUUACACUGGGUGGGACAGCAUUACAAGUGUUUAAAACAUGAGAACAGCAUUCUUCAUAUGGCUGUUUGCAGCUAACACAGUGGGUGGGAUUCCCAGAGGAAACUAUCAAAUACUGUUACCAUAUGUUAAAAUAACAUCAGUUGGAAGUCCCAAAAGCUAUAAUCAUUUAUAGGGCUCUGCCUGAACAACUGAAAUGCUGAGAUGCAAUUGUUUUAGUGACAAAAUCUUCACACAGCAGGCAUCAAAUGUUCACAUAAUCCAUACCAAAAAAGAAGUGAAAAAGGCUUUAUAACAAGUAGAAAACAAAAAUAAAGGUAAACUGAAGAAUGAAAACAACUACAAUGCACAGUACUUUUGAAAAUUACAUUCUGACUAUCUUUUCCAAGGAGCUAUCAGGCUUUUACCCUAUUCCUCCAUUCAUAUCUUUAGAGACUGGACAUGCGUGGAAUGCACCAUGUUUUAUCUAAAAGUGCUUCUAACACCAGAACUUUGAUCUCUCUGACCUGAAGUGGGAAUAACAGAACUUCAGCAUUCUGCAAAAUAUCAUUAACUGGCACACUUGCAAUAACAAAUGUGUAAGUGUACUGCAGCUCUGAAUGACUCAAGAGGUUAUACAAAUGUGAGGCCAGGUUUGAGGACUGCCAUAUGGAAUCAAGUUUUUUAUGAAGAAAAACAUGCAAGAAAGGUGUUUCUUAUAGUAGCUACAUCAUACAUUAACUAUGAAGUUAAAUGAAGUGCUGUAUAUCUGUAUUUAAGAUGCCAUCUAUGGAUAUUAUUCAGUCUGGAGUCCUGAAAAAGAUUUCCCUUUAAGUACAGCAUUUGGUUAAGUUACAGAGUACAUACACAAAAACAGCACUUGAUCUUGACAGCUUUGUCACAUGUGCUGAGGCACUGUCCCUGCCCAUUAGGCAUAUGAGAACUGGAUAGAGGUAGGCAUCACAAGCCACAACGAAACACCCACUGUGCAUGCACUUGCUUCCAUGAACCCUACUACCACCUGCCUCAGCUUGUACAGAAGGCAAACCUCUGUGGAUUAUGGCAAGGGAGGAAGAAACCAGGAGGCAGGAUCAACUAAACCACGGUGCCUUCAAUCUGAUGGGGGUGGUGGUCAGCCAUCUUUAAAGCUGCUGGUCAUCUAUCAGAAGCCACCAACACUCAGUGAGUGAGAUGGUUUUCGGUAUGAUAAAAGAGGGCUACAUGCCACAAACAGACAUUCCUCUGGGAAAACAGCUGAUUUGAAAACCUGGGAAAGAUAUUCAACUGCAAAGUGAUAGGGCUCAGAGCCUGGGUGAACAAGAGACAACAGCCUCGAGUCACAGGAGAAAACAGCCAACUUCCAUAAAUAGUUCCACUUCUAGUGGAGUCUGACUGGUUUGCUGUGCCCUGGGGCUGCCCUCUGCUUCUGUGUAAUGCAGGAUAUGCCAGAAGCCACACACGUUUCCCAGACUUUGUGCCAAUAUUCCUAAUACACAGGCAGCCUUCAGACCCCCUGAAUUGUGAUCACAGAACCCUAAAUCACAGGCAAUCAUACAGGCAUCAGAUUCCCACUGCAAAUCACACUCUACUCCCUUUUCCCAUGAAGGAACUAGAAAGCAGAAAUUGGCCAGUAAGUCUGAAAGCUGGAUGGUAAUUUCUACUAAUGACCAAAUAUCUGACUGGCCACCCCUCCAGCCUUCUGGGGACAUUCAAGCUGACCAGAAAACUGCUGGACCAUCAGAAACUUCUCUGGGCAAAAAGAAGGGUAGGUGAGCACAAAAGCACCAUUCAAAGGAGUGAAUUAUCCUACUGACCGCGGCAAGAGAAUCAUACAAAAAAAAUCAUACAAAUAAAAAAGCACUCGAGGGUUUAAAAUGCACCUCUCUCACUAAUCUGCAUGGAAAACUCACCUCAGACAUGGUAGCUACUCCAUGGAAUUUGUUUCCUUACUCAAAACCCUGAGAGAAACACACUUCUGCCACCUAACAGAGAAACAGUGCAAUGGUUCAGUAAUUGAGCCAUAUAGACAUGUAAGUGAGGAGUCACAUCACCCAGCCUGCUGGCCCCUGGCCACCUCCUCUGGCCCUUCUGUAUCUCCCUUACACAAAGUUACAGCCAGUCCAGUCUUUGCAACUCUAGAAAUUCCCCCAAAUUCAUUAUUUAAGUGACCUGGUGGUAUGGCAGAAGGGCUUUCCAAAGAGCUUACAACCCAUGACUCUUUUUUUCUGCACAGACUAACUGCCUAAGCAUAUUUCUUGUUUUUCCAUAUAGAUUUAUGUCUCUUUGCAUCUCAUAAUACUAGAAUGCCUCUUAAAAAUUCCUGUGAGAUAAGGAAAACACUGCAAUCCUGCUUUUGCAGAGAAACUCUGCCAAACCCUAUACUCUUUAAGGGCCAUAAUGAAAUUUUGCUGGAGUUGCUUACAUUUUCAAUUUCAUUCUGUGCUGGUUUGAAGAUCAAUAGAGGGAGGUGAUGUUGAGGCACAGUAAUUUUAAGAAUAUAACUAUUGUGCCGACACCACAACUUGCAUUAUAUAAGCAGGCUUCUGUGCCUGUCCAAAACUUCAGUGAUAAACAAUCUGCUUACACAGACUGUCACAGGAUUAACGUCCAUGAAUUUAUAUCCAUAAACACCGGCUGCAGCAACAGAGCUAAUAAAGUAUAUCCUCGAAAGUGACUCACACGAGUACCUCCCUGUGGGAAGUCAGCUACCUGCUUAAGAAUUAACUCAGUUAUAUUUUUACGUGGAUGUCAAUAUGAAUGAAAUAAAAGUCUUUAAAUUGCUUUCACGAACAAAUGACUACAAAAAUAAGCUGUUGAAAAAAAUACAGUGGUUUUUUUUUUUUUUAGGCAAAGUAAUGACCUACACACAUGGACCAGAGCAGGUACCUGUAUACAUAGCGGUGGUCAGGGAUGGCGAUUCAGAACUAUGCAACCAGAAGUACUGGUUUACAGAUAAGCAGCAGUCAGUAACUCCUCGGUUAGUUCCCAGUGUCUCCCUCCAGAGAUAUUAUCUCUGAGGUUUUGUCUGCAAAGGAAGCUGAAUGCUUUAAUUAUACCAGAACAUGCUUAUGACCUGGGAAGUAAUAAUGUAAACAUUAUUAAUGACAAACAGUACAUUAAAGGAAAAAUGUAAAGCACAUUACUAAGUAUUCAUAUCCCAAUCUGACAGAAUCUUAAUAUAGAAAUUCUGGUUUAAAAAAUAUAUAUUAAAAAAAUUAGCAUUCUGACAUAGUUAACAUUAAAAUUAAGACUCAUUCUUGGUUAUGAAGACAAGUCUGCUAAGCACUUUCAGAUGUCCACGAGGCAUUCUCAAACUGGCUCAUGAGGACUUUUAGAAGCUGCUUUUCAGGGAUGUGGGAACCACCAUCCAUGCACAUUAAUAUCAGUUAACACAUUCCCUGCAGAUCUCAACCUAAAAUAGGUGUGCUCUGAAAUUCUGCUGAAAUCCCUCUUGGAGACAAUCAACCAAGAAAAAUAAUAGAAGCAGGCACAGGAAAAGAUUUUCUGACCACAAUAAAAAGCUCUGAAAGAAGCUGACUGCAAUGCUGAGAUGCUCAAUUCCACCACACUCCACAUGGUAGGGGAUGAGCUCUCUCCCUAAUUCUUUUCUACAGAAAAUUGACUUUAUCACAUGCAUGUUUCUAUGUGUUAUAUACUGGGAGGUGUUAACUACUUUCUCCUCUCACAGGAAUCUGGCUCACGCAUUCAUUCCACAUCAUUCUUAACCAAUCCAAUCAUUCUUUUGUUUUUGUAGAAAAAUACUCUGCUUGGGCAGGCUGGACAGGCAGAUAUAAUAAACAUAAUAAAUAAAUAAAUAACCCUGAACCCACUUGCUUUCAGUAGCUCUUCUUCACUGAUGUGUCAAGUGUCUUUUGGGGCAGGUCAUCAGCAUGAAUGCAGUACAACAGGUUAGGCAUGUUUUCUUAGUUACAGAACACCAUAGGAUUUGUUAACUGGUAUAGAUGCAUCUUGCACUGCUACGGUGCUAUCAAAAUACACACUGUGAAAACCACUGCUAUUAAAUUAGCUGAAUAAAAAUUAGAUGUAUAUUUCAUCAAUAAAUCAGCUAUUCUCAUAGCAAAGCAGCCUACAGAAUCAUAAAAAAAAAUUAAAAAAUUAAAAAUACUAUGACAAAAGAAGUCAGUACUUAAGGACAACAAUAUUUGUGUUCCAAAUAUAGGAACAAAGAAAAUAGCACGGGAUGAAGGUGAGAGCUAUCAGCAGUGUCCCCUUCCCUCAACUCGGUGGACAGACAUAGCUUGUUAAUGCUACAGCCAUGACACCACUGCAAAGAACUCAGACCAAAUUACAGUAAUGUAACUAUGCAGAUGACAAAGUGGAAUUCUGACAGCAGAAAGGUCUUCUGAUGAGUAAUGUCCUAAGAAGCAUCUGGCUUUCAAUAGGCUAAAGCCAGACUUGAGUACUCACUCCAUACAGGAAGCAAACUGUACCUACUUGUCAACAACGUAAUGCACUUGUCUUGAUACAAACAAAAUCAUGUUAAGAAGAGCUUUCAGUACCUAAAGCUAAGCACCUGCUUAGAUCUUUGCAGGGUUCUGUAUUGUUCUUUUUCAUUCAAUAGAGCUUUCAGUAAGAUGCACAUGGCAGCAAACACAUAUAUCCAGUGUGUGUCCUAGCACAUGUGGUGCCACGUGUAGCUCCUUCAUUUUAUCUUGGGGUAUUUAGGAACAGAAACGUAAGCACUGAGAAAAUACACGACCAUGUGAAGUUUACAAACAAGCAGAUCAAACAUCUGUAAGUUUGAGAUAAGCUUCAGCAUAAGAAAAUGCUUUAAACACAAUAAAGUACUUGUCUUUUUUUAUAACAUGUAAGAAAACUCUUUUGUUUUUAAACAUGAGGGUGGUCAAACACUAGCACAGGUUACUCAGAAAGUCUCAAUUCUUGGAGAUAUUCAAAACACAGCUGGGCAUGACUCUGGCCAACGUACAUGAACUGACCCUGCUCUGAGCUGGGAGAUGGACUAGAGAAGUUCCAGGGUGGCCUUCCAGCCCCUGCUAUCCUGUAAGGAAGAAAACCAGCUAACUGAUACGUACUGCCUCAGCUUAGGAGCCCAAAACACAAGAAAUUAUCUCCUUUUAAGAACUUUCCUGUGAAGAAAUGAGGAAUUGCAGGCAAUCUCAACAGUUAAUUUUAGAUGAAAGCAAUGGGAAACUGACAAAAGAAGACUGAGGGAAACAGUUGGAAGGUACAGUACAGGCAAGGCGGGGAGAGACAGUGACUCUGCCUCUUUCAGCAGCAGCUAGCUGCUAGACCAGCUGAUCUGCUUCUUGAUGCACUCGUAAAAAGCUAACAGUGGGGGUGUGACAGAAAACAGCAAGAGAUAUAAAACUGGACACAUGAAACAUAUGCAUGGCAAUCAUUAAGUAUGGAUUUAGCCAAAAACAGAGCUCACUAAUGCAAACUACACUUCCCACCAUUGGCACCACUCCUAUGCAGGUUUGCAAUGAACAAUUAGAAAGCAAGAGACAGGUGUUAGAAAAUCAUCAAAUCACACAUUCAGGGAGUAUUCGCCAGCCAAGAACUGCAUGAACAACUUUAGCCAACACUCAGAAAAAAAGGUGAGGCAGAUGAGGUCAGAAGGAAAGAGCCUGAAGCACUUCCAACGCAGAAAGGGGGCCACGGUCAGGCACAGACAGCGAAGGAAAAACAAUCGAGGAAAACCUGGUGAGUGCAUUCCCUUCCCAAAAUCAUUAGGGAGAUGAAGGCAUUUUUCUAAUUGCACAUGUAAGAUCACCACCACUACCACGUGUAAAUUUUCUGUGAUCUUCAGACAAAAGCUCCUCCCUGACAGGGAAAAACAAUUCAUUCACAUUAUUUUAAUGCAACUAAAAAUCCCAGAAAAAGGGUUUAACUAAAGUAACCAAAGAUACACUCCUAAAUGUAACUGAAGAAAGCGAUAGCUGCUCAACAUUUUUAAAAUGGAACAAGCUAUACUGAAACAAUCCCAAAUACUACUUCACCAGGAGGUUGCCUUCUUACUGAUUUGGUCUCCUGAUUAUGAAGUGAGAAAUAAUUUUGGCUUAAAUUAUGCCUUGCAGUUUCCCUACAAAAAUCCCACUUUGUUCAGCACACAUCACGUUGGGCUUACUGGUUAACCAGUGGUUCCAACCCUUAUUUUCUGAAUUACCUGAUAUUCUAUUCAUGGGCUUUUCCAACAUAACUGAAUUACUGAAAUUUCUGAACUCUCUUCCCCCCCCCCCAAAAAAAAUGAACAUACUUCAGAGCAAACCAUUUUGUAGAUGAUUAAUCUCUGCUAUCUCUACAUUACACAAUGGAAAAUUGAGGUAUGGGAAGAUCAAUGUCAAAUAACUUCAGUAACUUGACUGCUCAUUCAGAGACACGUAAAAUGCAUUUUUUCAGAGAAUGCUUACAAUACAGAUGACCGUUGGUUUCACCUGUGCUUAUGAAAGUUCUGCAUUUCUGCAAAUCAAGACUGAGGCUCUCAAGAUGCAUACCAUGAAAUGAGGAACAUGAAAAUGAGUGAUUGCUUGUGAAAAAUCUGUUUUAAUCUACCGAUUCCUCGUCUGACAGCACAUAUGCAGUGGCCAAAUACAUAACUCUGUAGAGUAGCACUCAACUGUCUUCAUAAGCUGCUCUUUUCUUAUUCCAGUGUCUAGCAUUAGCCACUGUACAUUUACCAAAUUCUUCAUAAAAUGAUGCAAGGAUCCUAUAGACUAUGACCUUUCUAGAAAGGCAACUCAUUCACAGAAUGGAAUCCAAUGGAAAGCAAUACCAUUUUAACUAAAGGCCAGAGCACAUAAGACUGUCAAAUUGCAAAGGCAUAAGUCACGAAAUUUUAACAAGGAAACUAAUGAAGAACAAAGAAAGAAAACUACUUGCUUGAUAAAAUAAAAACCUUAAAUGAAAAUCACAGUCAGCUCUAGUGCUGAAAGCCAUAUUCACAUUACACCAUUCUGUCACUUCACUUAAAACAGAGGCCAAUAAGUAAGCAGAUUAUCCUUUUCUACAUGGAAACGUGAAGGAUGGGGUUGGGACAUGUUUGUUGCCAGUAGAUUUUACGGUUAUUUCAUGAGAGCAGGAAAGGGUGAAGAAUCCCAGAUUGGCACGAGCUCCAGCAAGUCAUGGCAGAAAGCAGGGAACACAGCUUCACCACAAGGCCGAGUGAAGCUCCCUGCAAAGGAAAUCUCUUACAGGAAGGACUGGGCCUGUAGCAGAAUCUGCAGCUUGGAAUUCUGGGUCUUCUGUAUCUCUUCAACAUGAAGACUGUUGGUUUUUUAUCAGUGAUUAGACGCUCCUGUAAAAGAAAACCUGCAAUUACUUUUACUUCUCAUUUUUCUUUCCUUUAACGUUGAAUAGUGGCCACUAACCCAUCCUGUAGCUGACACAGUCAGGACUUUUCAUCACGACCACUACUGCAUCCACAACAUUUACAUGAGCACAGUUUGCACAAGCAGGCCUGGACAUAAGCACACAGGCAGAAUUACCCUAUCUGAAUGCAAACGUGGGUUUUCAGGGGCAGCCAUUUUCCAUCACAACGUUACAAGUAAAAAGUGCAUUCAAAUACAGGCCCAUUUUUACUAAUUUGUUCCCGAAUGAGUAAUAGGAAUGAAGGUUUACUUCAUAAAACAAUCCGACAGUACUGCUUGUCAAUGAACAGUUCUAGAAGGCGCUGUUUUGCAUUUAGAAUUUAAUUGGGGGAACAGUUAAACAGAUAAAUAGUCAAAAAAGCCAGCGUGCCAGCCUCUGUACUGUGUGAUACAUUGGGACUGAAAGCUCAGCAUCACUUUUUCAGCUGCAAUUACAGCAAUCAGGGUGGCUGUGAGCACCAAUACUCACCUGCAUUAAUUUGACGGGGGCACUCUGACAAACACCCACACUUCACGGUGUGUCCGCCCGCGCUUCGUUUGUGCCCUCCCCCCCCAUCGCCUUCCAAGCCCCGGAAUGCUGUGGUACUUUCCCUAUCACAACAAAGUGCCGUCCGGAAAGCUGAGUAAAUAAAGGAAGUAAAAAAAAAAAAAAAAAACUCUACAAAAAUAAGCUGUGAGACCAACUUUAAGCUGAAGUUACGAAGUUUAAAAAAAGAUAAUAAUAACAAAACAGCCGCAGCAGCUCGUUCAGGCUGGCCGGCCUCAGCGCCGCUCCCGCAGGCCCCGGCCGGCGCCGAGUGCCCG
ensembl:lncRNA